AGGGUGGCAGAGGAAGGCAGAAUUUUACAUUCUCAUGUCUGUCUUUUGGGACUAUUUGAUUCUUUUUAACCAUAAGGAUGCUGCAGUGGGCUGAACUCUCCAAACUCAUGCGUUGAAUGUCUUAGCCCAGGGAGAUAGCCUUAGGAGAUGAGGCCCUUGCGUGGUGAUUACCCUCUGCGGGUUAGAGCCCUCAUGAUUGGGACUGGUGUGUCUUUAAGAGGAAGCCAAGCCAUUUCUGGCUCUCCUUCUGCUAUGUGAUGGCCAAACAAAACAAGCAUGAACAAAACACUACCCACCUGUCUAUGAAUUAGAAAGAGAGCUGUUACCAAAUGUCACUUCUUGCUAACCUCCUGGCUGUAGACUUUCAAUCUUCAUAAUUGCAAGAAAUAAUCAUUGGUUGUUUAAGCCCUCGGUUUAUGGCGUAAGAGAAGCCUGAGCUACCAGACUAACACACAAGCACCUUACUUUUAUAAUAAACAAAAUAAAAUUGCCAUUCUCAAAACAUAGCACUACUAGGUAAACCAUCAAACACGUCGGUUUUCUAAAAGUGCUUGGGGUCAGAGGGUCGCCCGGAGACCAUGCCAGUGAAGAACAGCCCGAGAAACUGCCUAAGAUCACUCUGCAAAGCACUUCGGAGGUUCAACUCGCACCCUCACAAUUAUCAUGCAGGGGUAAACCAUUCACAGCUCUUCAGAGACAACAAAGCUGUGACUCGGAAAGCCAUUUUGCACCCAUAAGCCAGCCAACAGGAGAUAACCCCCCCACACAUUCCAGUAACCAAAAUCUGUGCAAUUAUUAAGUCAGGCAGAGCUUUUGGUCUAGACUUUGUACAAACAAGUCCCUUCGUGUGUCUGGUCUCCAGUGCGGCCCCUGAAGUUUCUACCCCUCAAUAGGCCAAGCCAUCAUGACUUAUAACACUAACGCUGGCUUACUACUCAGCAAGGGAAAGCAAGGUGCCACCGCCAGCAGGAAGCCUCCUGCGCUCAGUUUCGCUCCCCUUCCUCACAGGCUCCACAUGACAGGAGCCUGGCUUGCCUUUGGGAUGGAUGCUUCCAUCUCCAGCCAUUUAUCUUUUAACUUUCCCUACAUACUCACCUGCACUUUCAGUAACUCCACGCAUUUCCGUAACUUUCCAAACACAUUGGAACCUGUAUACUUCUCAGGUCCAAAACUGUACUGCUGGAUCCAGUUACAGCCUUGAGAAAAGAGUAGCUUCUCAGGAAGCUUGAAAAGGAAGUAGAUGCCAACAGUGAUUAGUGUCUGAGCGCUCAGCACGCGCCACCUGGGACGCGGCAGCGCACAAUCUUAUCUCCUGCAGCCGUCCUCGGAAAGACUACCACGUCAGUUAACUGAGGAGCAACGGUCAUCUUUGCUUUAGAUGUGUGGAUUAUGUCAUGUCUGUAUUUUAUAUAUAUAUAAACUCAAUCUAGG